rnacentral:rRNA from 1 species
GAAAGUAAGAAAGGGCGCAUGGCGGAUGCCUUGGCUCACGGAGGCGAUGAAGGACGUGAUAAGCUGCGAUAAGCCGCGGUUAGGCGCAAAUAGCCCUUGACCCGCGGAUUUCCGAAUGGGACAACCCACCGCUUCGGCGGUAUCCCUACUAAGUAGGGAGGCUAACGGGGGGAACUGAAACAUCUUAGUACCCCCAGGAAGAGAAAACAACAGUGAUUCCCCUAGUAGUGGCGAGCGAACGGGGAACAGCCCAAACCGUCGCUGUCGCAAGGCAGCGCCGGGGUAGUAGGACCACGACCUUGUAUCAUGAUCGCGAGCAGAAGGUCCCUGGAAAGGACCGCCGCAGACGGUGAGAGCCCGGUAUGCGAAGCGUGAUUGGGCAUAGUGGUAUCCUGAGUAGCGCGGGACACGAGGAAUCCUGCGUGAAUCCGCCGGGACCAUCCGGUAAGGCUAAAUACUCCCGUGAGACCGAUAGUGAACGAGUACCGUGAGGGAAAGGUGAAAAGCACCCCUAGCAGGGGAGUGAAAUAGUCCCUGAAACCAUGCGCCUACAAGCGGUCGGAGCUGCUUUUGCAGUGACGGCGUGCCUUUUGCAUAAUGAGCCUACGAGUUGCCAUGUCCGGCAAGGCUAAGGGCGAGUACGCCCGCAGCCGCAGUGAAAGCGAGCCUGAACAGGGCGCCGAGUCGGAUGGGGCAGACGCGAAACCAAGUGAUCUACGCAUGGCCAGGCUGAAGUCCCGGUAACACGGGAUGGAGGGCCGCACGGAUAAGCGUUGAAAAGCUUCCCGAUGAGCUGUGCGUAGGAGUGAAAGGCCAAUCAAACUUGGAGAUAGCUCGUACUCCCCGAAAGGCAUUUAGGUGCCGCGUCGGAUGUUCACCGCGAGAGGUAGAGCGACCGAUAGGACGAGAGGGCUUCACCGCCUAUCGAGUCCUGACGAACUCCGAAUGCUCGCGGUCCGCAGUCCGGCAGUAAGGGGGCGGGUGCUAAGGUCCGUCCCCGAGAGGAGAAGAAUCCUGACCGUCGUCUAAGGUCCCGAAAUUCUGUCUAAGUUAGUCUAACGAGGUCUGGUCUCAGUGACAGCUAGGAUGUUGGCUUGGAAGCAGCCAUUCAUUCAAAGAGUGCGUAACAGCUCACUAGUCGAGGAGCUGGGCGUGGAUAAUAAUCGGGUAUAAAACCAGUUACCGAAGCCGUGGGAUGCUCAAGCAUCGGUAGGGGAGCAUUGCAUGCGGCUUGGAAGGCGGGGCGCGAGCCCCUCUGGAGCGCAUGGAAACGCAAAUGUAGGUAUAAGUAACGACAAGGGGGGUGGGAUGCCCCCCCGCCGAAAGACCAAGGUUUCCUGAACAACGCUAAUCGGUUCAGGGUCAGUCGGGUCCUAAGCAUAAGCCGUAUGGCGAGGGCGAUGGAUGAAACGGUUAAUAUUCCGUUACUGUCUUGGUGUGUGACGCGGCGACGGAGUAGUGACACGGCCGCCUCCUGACGGAAAAGGGGGUUGAAGCGCAAAGGUGUCGAGGAAGGCAGGCAAAUCCACCUUCCGAGCCGAAGCGCGAUAGUACGCCGGGCCCUUUGGGGCAAGGCGAUAGUGCCGGUAAUCAGACUUCCAAGAAAACCCGCUAAACUUCAGCACCAAGUCACCCGUACUCCAAACGGACACACGUGGUCGGGUAGAAUAUACUAAGGCGCUUGGGAGAUUCACGGUUAAGGAACUAGGCAAAUUGACCCCGUACCUUCGGAAUAAGGGGUCCUCGCUUUUGCGAGGCGCAGAGAAUAGGUCCAGGCAACUGUUUAACAAAAACACAGGGCUGUGCGAACUCGAAAGAUGAAGUAUACAGCCUGACACCUGCCCGGUGCCGGAAGGUUAAGAGGAGAUGUCAACCGUAAGGCGAAGCAUUGAAUUGAAGCCCCGGUAAACGGCGGCCGUAACUAUAACGGUCCUAAGGUAGCGAAAUUCCUUGUCGGGU